CAGGAUGAACGCUGGCGGCGUGCUUAAUACAUGCAAGUCGAACGAAGCACUUAUGACAGAUCCCCUCGGGGUGAAGACGUUUGUGACUGAGUGGCGGACGGGUGAGUAACGCGUGGGUAACCUGCCUUAUGCAGGGGGACAACAGUUGGAAACGACUGCUAAUACCGCAUAAGCGCACGGCACCGCAUGGUGCAGUGUGAAAAGAUUUAUCGGCAUAAGAUGGACCCGCGUCUGAUUAGGUAGUUGGUGAGGUAACGGCCCACCAAGCCGACGAUCAGUAGCCGACUUGAGAGAGUGAUCGGCCACAGUUGGGACUGAGACACCGGCCCAGACUCCUACGGGAGGCAGCAGUAGGGAAUAUUGCACAAUGGGGGAAACCCUGAUGCCAGCGACGCCGCGUGAGUGAUGAAGUAUUUCGGUACGUAAAGCUCUAUCAGCAGGGAAGAUAAUGACGGUACCUGACUAAGAAGCCCCGGCUAACUACGUGCCAGCCGCCGC
rnacentral:rRNA from 1 species